rnacentral:rRNA from 1 species
CCGAACCGACUAGUGUUGCAAAAUUAGCGGAUGAGCUGUGGAUAGGGGUGAAAGGCUAAACAAAUCUGGAGAUAGCUGGUUCUCCCCGAAAACUAUUGAGGUAGUGCCUCGUGUAUGGCUCCAGGGGGUAGAGCACUGUUAUGGCUAGGGGGACAUGGCGUCUUACCAAACCAUGGCAAACUCCGAAUACUUGGAAGUCUGAGCACGGGAGACAGAGCACCGGGUGCUAACGUCCGGACUCAAAAGGGAAACAACCCAGACCGCCGGCUAAGGUCCCUAAUAUUGACUAAGUGGAAAACGAAGUGGGAAGGCUAAGACAGUCAGGAAGUUGGCUUAGAAGCAGCCAUCCUUCAAAGAAAGCGUAAUAGCUCACUGAUCGAGUCUUCCUGCGCGGAAGAUGUAACGGGGCUAAGUCAAUAACCGAAGCCGCGGAUUCGCAGCAAUGCGAGUGGUAGGGGAGCGUUCUGUAAGCCUGCGAAGGCGGAUCUGCGAGGACCGCUGGAGGUAUCAGAAGUGCGAAUGCUGACAUGAGUAACGUUAAAGCGGGUGAAAAGCCCGCUCGCCGCAAGCCCAAGGUUUCCUGCUCUACGUUCAUCGGAGCAGGGUGAGUCGGCCCCUAAGGUCAGGCUGAGAAGCGUAGCUGAUGGGAAGCUGGUUAAUAUUCCAGCACCGAUUUCAAGUGCGAAGGGGGGACGGAGUCCUGAAGGUCAUCCGGGUGUUGGAUAUCCCGGUUUACGAGCGUAGGAGGUUGACAGGCAAAUCCGUCAACGAAUCUCCAAGGCGAAGGAUCGAGGUUGAGAGAUCAACUGAAGUGACUGAAUGGGCUUCCAGGAAAAGCCUCUAAGCAUCAGCUUGGAAUUGACCGUACCGCAAACCGACACUGGUGGGCGAGCUGAAUAUGCUCAGGCGCUUGAGAGAACUCAGGAGAAGGAACUCGGCAAAUUGACACCGUAACUUCGGGAUAAGGUGUGCCUUUGUAGUGUGAAGGGAGAAACACCCCGAGCAUGAAGAGGCCUCAGAGAAUCGGUGGCUGCAACUGUUUACUAAAAACACAGCACUCUGCAAAGAUGAAAGUCGACGUAUAGGGUGUGAUGCCUGCCCGGUGCUGGAAGAUUAAUUGAUGGGGUGCAAGCUCCUGAUCGAAGUCCCAGUAAACGGCGGCCGUAACUAUAACGGUCCUAAGGUAGCGAAAUUCCUUGUCGGGCAAGUUCCGACCUGCACGAAUGGCAUAAUGAUGGCCACACUGUCUCCUCCUGAGACUCAGUGAAGUUGAAAUGUUUGUGAUGAUGCAAUCUCCCCGCGGCUAGACGGAAAGACCCCAUGAACCUUUACUGCAGCUUUGCAUUGGACUUUGAACCGAUCUGUGUAGGAUAGGUGGGAGGCAGUGAAGCUAGGACGCCAGUCUUAGCGGAGCCAACCUUGAAAUACCACCCUGAUUUGUUUGAGGUUCUAACCUAGGAGCGUAAUCCGCUUCGGGGACCGUGCAUGGUAGGCAGUUUGACUGGGGCGGUCUCCUCCUAAAGGGUAACGGAGGAGUGCGAAGGUACGCUAGGUACGGUCGGAAAUCGUGCUGAUAGUGCAAUGGCAAAAGCGUGCUUGACUGCGAGACCGACAAGUCGAGCAGAUACGAAAGUAGGUCAUAGUGAUCCGGUGGCUCUGCAUGGAAGGGCCAUCGCUCAACGGAUAAAAGGUACUCUGGGGAUAACAGGCUGAUACCGCCCAAGAGUUCAUAUCGACGGCGGUGUUUGGCACCUCGAUGUCGGCUCAUCUCAUCCUGGGGCUGUAGCCGGUCCCAAGGGUAUGGCUGUUCGCCAUUUAAAGAGGUACGUGAGCUGGGUUUAAAACGUCGUGAGACAGUUUUGUCCCUAUCUGCCGUGGGCGUUGGAAGAUUGACGGGGGCUGCUCCUAGUACGAGAGGACCGGAGUGGAC